rnacentral:rRNA from 1 species
UCGAACGAUGAUGCCUAGCUUGCUGGGUUGAUUAGUGGCGAACGGGUGAGUAACACGUGAGUAACCUGCCCCUGACUUCGGGAUAACGCUGGGAAACUGGUGCUAAUACCGGAUAUGACGUGCCCUCGCAUGGGGGUGUGUGGAAAGACUGUGUCGGUUGGGGAUGGGCUCGCGGCCUAUCAGCUUGUUGGUGGGUGAUGGCCUACCAAGGCGUCGACGGGUAGCCGGCCUGAGAGGGUGACCGGCCACACUGGGACUGAGAUACGGCCCAGACUCCUACGGGAGGCAGCAGUGGGGAAUAUUGCACAAUGGGCGCAAGCCUGAUGCAGCGACGCCGCGUGAGGGAUGACGGCCUUCGGGUUGUAAACCUCUUUCAGUAGGGGAGAAGCCUUUAGGGGUGACGGUACCUGCAGAAGAAGCGCCGGCCAACUACGUGCCAGCAGCCGCGGUAAUACGUAGGGCGCAAGCGUUGUCCGGAAUUAUUGGGCGUAAAGAGCUCGUAGGCGGUUUAUCACGUCGGCUGUGAAAUCCCGAGGCUUAACCUCGGGCCUGCAGUCGAUACGGGUUGACUAGAGUGAUGCAGGGGAGACUGGAAUUCCUGGUGUAGCGGUGAAAUGCGCAGAUAUCAGGAGGAACACCGAUGGCGAAGGCAGGUCUCUGGGCAUUAACUGACGCUGAGGAGCGAAAGCGUGGGUAGCGAACAGGAUUAGAUAAAUCACUAGUGAAUUC